UUGCUUUAACAGCACAUAUACUAAAACUGGAAUGAUACAGAUAAGAUUAGCAUAAGUUCCUGUGUAAGGAUGACAUGCAAAUAAAUGAAGCAUUCCAUAUUUUU
ensembl:snRNA U6 U6 spliceosomal RNA